rnacentral:lncRNA from 1 species
AGGGGGCCAUUUGCUCCAGGUAAACAGUGGUGGAGACGUUGGUUCUAAGCACACGAAUUCCAAGUACUCCUUUGAGCCAAAACAUGUCAUGAACUCACAUGCAAGUACACAUGAUAUGCAAUCGAGUAAAUAAUGCAAGAAACAGUUCAUAAGUAGCUUUGGAAAUAGUUUGGGGUCACUCACCAACCACGGCUCAGGAAUCAUCCAUCAUAUAUCAUUUCCUUGCUCAAGUUCAAGCCCUUCAACUCAAACUCAAAGCAAUCAAAUGCUUUCAAAAAUUGGACAGCAUAUCCCCUUAAUUUCCUUACUUUUCCAUCCUACAAGCAACACCAAUUCAUCUCAAAUUAACCACAUACACAUCAUAAACUAUCAAAUACACCUUUCGGCACAAUAACCAUAACUGAAGCUACACUUAUCGGAAUGAAAUGAAUCUUAUGGCGUUUCGAAGCCAAGACAUAUACCUACAUUUCAUAUGAAGACCUCCAGAUCCAAAUCAUGCACUUUCAGGGUCAAAAAUGGAAAUUUCCACAAAAACAGAAAUCUGGCUGCGAAACAGGGCUUAUGGGUAGUCAAGGGUAUUUCGGUCAUUUCACAUGAUACAGUACUCCGAUUGAGCUGAAAUUUUGUAGGCAGCUAGUUAACACCAUUACCAAUAACUUUCAUGUUUUAGGCAAGCACUGAUUCUGUAUCUAGCAUGCCCAAGUAAAUCCGGUCAGAACAGGGCAGAUUUAAAACCCUAAACUUGGAAUUUCCGCACAAAACUGAAAUUUUCCGCAAACAAUCAUGACUAACAUAUACAAGCUCCAUUUUAUACCAUAACAGACUAUCAUACCAUGAUUAAACCAUGAUCAUCAUGUAAAAUCAGAAAAAUCUCCAUUAAAUCAGAAAUUUAACAAACACUACUUAAAUCCAUGAAGUCUUCCACAAAUUAACAUGUUAAGCCACUAGAAACCACUAAUCUAUCCUUAUUAAAAACAAAAGGGAAAUUUCUUAGCAACUUACCUUUACAACUCAAGAAAGAUAGUAGCUUAGGUUUCUUUCUCCCAAAACAACUCCACCAAUAGCUUUAAACCUUCUUAGUGAGCACUUGUAUGGAGUAGAUUCAAGUUUGGUUGGUUGAAACUCAAGAUUUGAGGAAGAAUUGAAGUUGAAGUUGAAGAAACUCUCUCUUGUUCUUUCCUCUUCAUAAAUUUCGGCCAAGGCAAUGAAAAUGGAAAGAAAUUGGGUCAAAAUUUGGUUUAAUAAAGGUUAAGACAAGUCCAAUGUCCAAUGUUUCAAGGACAAAUGGCAUCUAACGGUUAAUCCUCAUCUUGUU